CUCCCCGAUUUCCCAGUAGCUUUGUGAUGACCUCAUGCACCUUCCAGUGUAGACGAGACCCAUGAUUUUUAAGAAAAUGUUUGUGUGUGUGUGCAUUCAAUCGUGCGAUCCUACGGACUAUAGCCGGCAAGUCUCCUCUGUCCAUGGAAUUUUCCAGGAAAAUCUCUCCCAGAAGCCUCCAGGAGACAUGCACUUACUUCUCAUUGGCCGGAGUCAGGGCAUCAGUCCACCUGGAAACCAAUCACUGGCAAAGGGGAAUGAUUUACAUCAAUAACAGUUGUCCUCCUGGGACUGGGGACGGAGCAUCUCUCCCUUGAGCUCACUGCCAUCUGCUCUGUGCUGGAACAAAGUGGGAGUUCGCUCAGUCAGGAGGAAGGGAGGACAGCAGUCUCUCUGUUGCAGGUCCUAGCAUCAGCUUUUACAUGUGAUCUUCAAAUAAAAUUGUACCCAAGUCACAGAGCGAUACCACCAGACCUGAAGGCAGAAGAGACCAUAGAAAAUCAUUAAAC
ensembl:lncRNA